CAAACAAUACCAUAUAUAGUGUAAAUUUUGAAUUUUCUUGUCAAAAUAAAAACUAUUUAUGUAGUUUAAAUUCUUGUCAAUAUAUAUAAAAUUAUUUAACGAGUGUCUUAAUUAUGAUCUAUAGUGGAAGAUAAUCUUGACAUUGAUGGAAGCAUAAAUCACUAACAAAUGAGAAGCUCCACAACUCAAAUAAAAUUUUGAUAAACUCUCUAAAUUAAUUAAUUGGCUACGAACAACGUUACAAGUACAAGACUGACACCAUCGCAAAAUAAAGUUACUCGAAAAAAGGAAAAACAACUCGUUUGAGUAAGUUCUUAAGUAGAGCGGUUGGGGGUCAUGACCCCCAUAACCCUGUGCUCAUGCAGCAGGGGCGUAAUCGUAAUCUCCAUCGUCAUCACCAUCACCUUCAUAUCCAUUAUCGAUGCCCUCCGGCCUCUUCUCGCACCACGACAACCCAAUUUCGAUAGAGAUGAGGGCCAUAAUUGCAAUUUUGAGUUGAAAAAAGGAUGAGAGAGAAAGAAAAAAGUGAAAGUAUAUGAAAUAAUUUUUUUUUCUUUUUAGUCCCUGCAGUUUAUGUGGCUUUUGGGUAAUGUGAAUGGGUUGGGUUUUUG
rnacentral:lncRNA from 1 species